UUUGGUUUAGGUUCUCAGCCUAGAAGACACUAGGCUCUCUCUCUCUCUCUCACACACACGCGCACACACACACACACACACGUUUGCUGGUCUAUGCAGGCAGAUUAGUGUCACAGCUGUAACUGAGGCACAGAGCAAUAAACAUAGCAGAAGCAAUUUCCAUGGUGGCAAGAGAGGGCACGGGAGGUGACAACAAUGAGAAGGAUCUCUUCUUCUGACAAGUUUUAGGUGGAAUCAAAUCCAGUGUUGUUCUUCUUCAGCUGAAGAGUUUGUCAUUACCUUGGGAAAACAAAGUCUCCAUUGCAUGCUCAAUUCCCUAUGGAUAGCUGAGGAUUGCUGUAAUUUUGAAACCAGUGUUCCAAUCAAAGGACGAAUCUUUGACUGACCUCAUUGAGAUGAAUGAAGAAUAUGGCAGAUGAAAUGAGAAUGAGGGGAUUAUCCAUCUGAAAACUGAGGACAUCCAGUUAAAGCUCAUCUUAUUUUAAUCUUCAUGUGGAUGAUUGAUCAUACCCGCCAGCUGGCUAAUAUCAUAAUUAACAAAGUUGCUACCACGUCUGAGAAGUAUAAUCGAAAAAUUUACCAGCAGUGUGAUGCCAUUGUCACAAGAUCAUAA
rnacentral:lncRNA from 1 species